CCUGAUGGAGGGGGAUAACUACUGGAAACGGUAGCUAAUACCGCAUAACGUCGCAAGACCAAAGAGGGGGACCUUCGGGCCUCUUGCCAUCGGAUGUGCCCAGAUGGGAUUAGCUAGUAGGUGGGGUAACGGCUCACCUAGGCGACGAUCCCUAGCUGGUCUGAGAGGAUGACCAGCCACACUGGAACUGAGACACGGUCCAG
rnacentral:rRNA from 1 species